rnacentral:rRNA from 1 species
GACGAACGCUGGCGGCGUGCUUAACACAUGCAAGUCGAACGGAAAGGCUCCAGCUUGCUGGAGUACUCGAGUGGCGAACGGGUGAGUAACACGUGGGUAAUCUGCCCCGCACUCUGGGAUAAGCCUGGGAAACUGGGUCUAAUACGGGAUAUGACCUUUCUCCCUGUGGGGUUUGGUGGAAAGUUUUUCGGUGUCGGAUGAGCCCGCGGCCUAUCGGCUUGUUGGUGGGGUGAUGGCCUACCAAGGCGACGACGGGUAGCCGGCCUGAGAGGGUGAUCGGCCACAUUGGGACUGCGAUACGGCCCAGUCUCCUACGGGCGGCAGCAGUGGGGAAUAUUGCACAAUGGGCGCAAGCCUGAUGCGGCGACGCCGCGUGAGGGAUGACGGCCUUCGGGUUGUAAACCUCUUUCAGCAGGGACGAAGCGUAAGUGACGGUACCUGCAGAAGAAGCACCGGCUAACUAUGUG